GCCCUGUUGCAUAAAAAUUUAUGUCAUAAUGACAUAAAUUUCGAUCAUGACAUAAAAUCAUGCAUAGCUUAUGCCGUUGACAUAAAUUUCGUUGCAUAAAAAUAUUUAUGUAUUGUUUUAGCUUAUGACGCGAUUUAAUCAUCAUUACAUAAACUGAAUAGUCAUGAACGAGCCUGUUGACAUAAACUUGGCAUAAGUUGUCAUUUUUCAGCCGCAGGAAGCUCUUGCGAAAAAGGGUCUUCGGCUUUCUAUUUGGUCGGGAUAGAGGCCUAUUUUGGUGACCCACACAAACGGUGAGAAGAGGUAAAGAGAGAAAGGGGCACAGCAACUGAAAGAGAGGGAAGUCCAGACACUCUUCCACGGUCUGCCAUUGAACAAGAAGUCUCUCUUUGGAUCAGGGGUUCAAGCUUCUAGUAUGAAGAUUGUUCAAGAGUCAAGACUGUUGAAGAGGUGACGUCAUGGACCUGAUAGCACCUGGCAAGGGAACUAUAUUACUGUUCAUAAAUCUAUUACUCAAGUAUCCUAAAAACGCUUUAAAAAUUUGAACAUUAACAAAAGUUCUAUUUUACAAAGAUAAUAAUCAUUAUAUUGACAUUGUGAAUAUAUUUUAUGAUUAUCAUAAAAUUAUUAUAAUGUAAAUGAUGAUAGGUCAUACUAAUACAAAUAAACAAUAAGUAGAAAAGAAGACAACCAAGAAGGAGGAGGAGAAGAAGAAAAAGAAGAGGGGUGGAAGAGGAGAAAAGGAGAAGAAGAAUAAAUAACAACACUGAGUUCCUCUUCAUGAUAUUACAGAAAUCUUCAUCUUUAAGUGGAAAUAUUUAUGAAUAGUAUAGUAUAUAAUGUAUGAAAAAAACAUUUUAUCUAAAUCCAAGUUCCACUUUAAUCAUGUUUAUAAAGUCAUAGGACAGGUGACAAGAUAACAUUGUUUCACAAAUUUUAGUGUGUAUUUAUUUUAAAAGUAAUAAAUUUACAUGAAAUGUCAUUCUUUUUGCUUCAUCUCUUUGUUUA
rnacentral:lncRNA from 1 species